UACAGAGGGGGCAAGCGUUGUUCGGAAUUACUGGGCGUAAAGGGCGCGUAGGCGGCCUGCUAAGUCGAACGUGAAAUCCCCGGGCUCAACCCGGGAACUGCGUCCGAUACUGGCAGGCUUGAAUCCGGGAGAGGGAUGUGGAAUUCCAGGUGUAGCGGUGAAAUGCGUAGAUAUCUGGAGGAACACCGGUGGCGAAGGCGGCAUCCUGGACCGGCAUUGACGCUAAGGCGCGAAAGCCAGGGGAGCAAACAGG
rnacentral:rRNA from 1 species